rnacentral:misc_RNA from 1 species
UUUACGUCUUCUUCCUCAAGAAAUCAAACCUUUCGUGUUCUUGUAUUUAGUUUUUCCCAAAAAUCAAACCUUUCCCUUUACAAAACCAUAACGCACCUCUUUUCUUUCACUUUCCAAGUCUCCAAGCCAAUUGCAUUUCAUUUUUCUUUCUCAGUUGUCACGUAUACAGUUGUCUGUCGAUCUUCUGCAAUCACAAUCAGGGUGUUUUUCUUCUCCCCCUUUUGUGAAUAUAUAGUCAUAUUUGAGUGAUAUCUGAAAUGAACAACGGCGAAGCAGAGGCUGUGCUCAUGGAGAAGAAGCCCAAGACGAAGAUUGUUUGCACGCUUGGACCCGCAUCCAGAUCUGUGCCUAUGAUCGAAAAGCUUUUGAGGGCAGGCAUGAACGUCGCUCGCUUCAACUUUUCUCAUGGAUCUCAUGAGUACCACCAGGA